AAUUCGAUAACCUUUUCACAUGUUGCUAUCUUCUUUACAGGAGGCUCCGUCGUAUCUGUUCCAUGAUGAAAUUUCAAAUCAUCUCGUUACAAAAUACGAAUUUUUGCUGAAGAAUAUCAAUGCCCUGUUCUCUAUCAUCAAGCACAUGACGGACAUCGAAUCUCCAAGAAAAAGAAUUCUUGAAAAGCUUCUUGAUGCUGAGUACCGAGUAUUUUCCUUCACGCAGAUAAAAACCCAAGCAAAGGCCUGUCUCAGUGUCCUUGAGGAU